GUCCUUUUGUUUUAUAUUUAAGGUCUAACCUGCCCACUGAAUAAUUUAAAUGGCCGCAGUAUUUUAACUGUGCAAAGGUAGCAUAAUCAUUAGUUUUUUAAUUAAAAGCUUGUAUGAAAGGUUGGACGAGGUAAAAACUGUCUUUAUUUAAUUAAUUAUAAAAUUUAAUUUUUAAGUUAAAAAGCUUAAAUUUUUUUAAAAGACGAGAAGACCCUAUAGAUCUUUAUAUUUAUUAUUUUAUUUUUAAUUAAGAUUUAUUUAAAUUUUAUUAUAUUAAAUAUUUUAUUGGGGUAAUAAGAAGAUUAAAAAAAUUCUUUUUUAUAUUAUUCAUUGAUUAAUGUUUUAAUGAUCCAAUUUUAUUGAUUAUAAGAUUAAGUUACCUUAGGGAUAACAGCGUAAUUUUUUUAGAGAGUUCAUAUCGAUAAGAAAGUUUGCGACCUCGAUGUUGGAUUAAAGAUUAAUUUAGGUGUAGAUGUUUAAAUUUUUGGUCUGUUCGACCAUUAAAUCUUUACAUGAUCUGAGUUCAGACCGGUGUAAGCCAGGUCGGUUUCUAUCUUUAAUAAUAUAAUAUA
rnacentral:rRNA from 1 species